rnacentral:rRNA from 1 species
UACAGAGGUCCCGAGCGUUGUUCGGAUUCAUUGGGCGUAAAGGGUGCGUAGGCGGCGGGGAAAGUCUGAUGUGAAAUCCUGGGGGCUCAACCCUGGAACUGCAUUGGAUACUUCCUUGCUAGAGUACUGGAGAGGAAACUGGAAUUUACGGUGUAGCAGUGAAAUGCGUAGAGAUCGUAAGGAAGACCAGUGGCGAAGCGAGUUUCUGGACAGUUACUGACGCUGAGGCACGAAGGCCAGGGGAGCAAACGGG